AACACAUGCAGGUCGAGGGGCAUCAGGCAUAAAGCUUGCUUUCUUUGCUGGCGACCGGCGCACGGGUGAGUAACACGUAUCCAACCUGCCCUUUACUCGGGGAUAGCCUUUCGAAAGAAAGAUUAAUACCCGAUAGCAUAAUGAUUCCGCAUGGUUUCAUUAUUAAAGGAUUCCGGUAGAGGAUGGGGAUGCGUUCCAUUAGGUUGUUGGUGAGGUAACGGCUCACCAAGCCUUCGAUGGAUAGGGGUUCUGAGAGGAAGGUCCCCCACAUUGGAACUGAGACACGGUCCAAACUCCUACGGGAGGCAGCAGUGAGGAAUAUUGGUCAAUGGGCGCUAGCCUGAACCAGCCAAGUAGCGUGAAGGAUGAAGGCUCUAUGGGUCGUAAACUUCUUUUAUAUAAGAAUAAAGUGCAGUAUGUAUACUGUUUUGUAUGUAUUAUAUGAAUAAGGAUCGGCUAACUCCGUGCCAGCAGCCGCGGUAAUAUGGAGGAUCCGAGCGUUAUCCGGAUUUAUUGGGUUUAAAGGGAGCGUAGGUGGACUGGUAAGUCAGUUGUGAAAGUUUGCGGCUCAACCGUAAAAUUGCAGUUGAUACUGUCAGUCUUGAGUACAGUAGAGGUGGGCGGAAUUCGUGGUGUAGCGGUGAAAUGCCUAGAUAUCACGAAGAACUCCGAUUGCGAAGGCAGCUCACUGGACUGCAACUGACACUGAUGCUCGAAAGUGUGGGUAUCAAACAGGAUUAGAUACCCUGGUAGUCCACACAGUAAACGAUGAAUACUCGCUGUUUGCGAUAUACAGUAAGCGGCCAAGCGAAAGCAUUAAGUAUUCCACCUGGGGAGUACGCCGGCAACGGUGAAACUCAAAGGAAUUGACGGGGGCCCGCACAAGCGGAGGAACAUGUGGUUUAAUUCGAUGAUACGCGAGGAACCUUACCCGGGCUUAAAUUGCAGUGGAAUGAUGUGGAAACAUGUCAGUGAGCAAUCACCGCUGUGAAGGUGCUGCAUGGUUGUCGUCAGCUCGUGCCGUGAGGUGUCGGCUUAAGUGCCAUAACGAGCGCAACCCUUAUCUUCAGUUACUAACAGGUCAUGCUGAGGACUCUGGAGAGACUGCCGUCGUAAGAUGUGAGGAAGGUGGGGAUGACGUCAAAUCAGCACGGCCCUUACGUCCGGGGCUACACACGUGUUACAAUGGGGGGUACAGAAGGCAGCUAGCGGGUGACCGUAUGCUAAUCCCAAAAGCCUCUCUCAGUUCGGAUCGAAGUCUGCAACCCGACUUCGUGAAGCUGGAUUCGCUAGUAAUCGCGCAUCAGCCACGGCGCGGUGAAUACGUUCCCGGGCCUUGUACACACCGCCCGUCAAGCCAUGGGAGCCGGGGGUACCUGAAGUACGUAACCACAAGGAUCGUCCUAGGGUAAAACUGGUGACUGGGGC
rnacentral:rRNA from 1 species